rnacentral:rRNA from 1 species
GGCGAACGGGUGAGUAACGCGUAGGCAACCUGCCCUAGAGAUUGGGAUAACAUCGGGAAACCGGUGCUAAUACCGAAUAAUGCAGCGGAUCCUUCGGGAUACAGUUGUUAAAGCGGGCUUCGGCUCGCACUUUAGGAUGGGCCUGCGUCCGAUUAGCUUGUUGGUAAGGUAACGGCUUACCAAGGCAAUGAUCGGUAGCUGGUCUGAGAGGAUGAUCAGCCACACUGGGAUUGAGAUACGGCCCAGACUCCUACGGGAGGCAGCAGUAGGGAAUUUUGCGCAAUGGGGGAAACCCUGACGCAGCAACGCCGCGUGACCGAUGAAGCUUCUAGGAGCGUAAAGGUCUGUCGUAAGGGAAGAAAAGUUUGGAUGUAAAUAAUGUUUGAACCUGACGGUACCUUACAAGAUAGCACCGGCUAACUUCGUGCCAGCAGCCGCGGUAAUACGAGGGGUGCAAGCGUUGUCCGGAAUCACUGGGCGUAAAGGGUCCGUAGGCGUCUUAAAAAGUCAUUUGUUAAAUACACCGGCUUAACCGGUGGCCUGCAUUUGAAACUAUUAAGAUAGAGUAUAGGAGAGGAAAGCGGAAUUCCUGGUGUAGCGGUGACAUGCGUAGAUAUCAGGAGGAACACCAAUGGCGAAGGCAGCUUUCUGGCCUAUUACUGACGCUGAGGGACGAAAGCGUGGGGAGCGAACAGGAUUAGAUACCCUGGUAGUCCACGCCGU